GUAAAGGACUGGGGCCCCGCAACUGGCCUCUCGUGCCUUCUUAAGCGCAGCGCCAUUUUAGCAACGCGGAAGCCCGGCGCCGGGAAGCCUCAGCUCGCCUGAAGGCAGGUCCCCUCUGCUGCCUCCGGGAGCCCAGGUUUCCCAGAGUCCUUGGGACGCAGCGACGAGUUGUGCUGUUACCUUAGCCGUCCUUAUAGGCUGGCCAUUCCAGGUGGUGGUAUUUAGAUAAAACCACUCAAACCCUGCAGUUUGGUCUUGGGGUUUGGAGGAAAGCUUUUAUUUUUCUUCCUGCUCCGGUUCAGAAGGUCUGAAGCUCAGACCUAACCAGGCAUAACACAGAAUCUGCAAAACAAAAACCCCUAAAAAAGCAGACCCAGAACAGUGUAAACACUUCAGGGUGUGUCCCUGACUGGCUGCCCAAGGUCCCUGUGUCUUCGGAGAUAAAGCCAUUCGCUUAGUUGGUCUACUUUAAAAGGCCACUUGAACUUGCUUUCCAUGGCGAUUUGCCUUGUGAGCACUUUCAGGAGAGCCUGGAAGCUGAAAAACGGUAGAAAGAUUUCCGUGCGGGCCGUGGGGGGCUGGCGGCAACUGGGGACCGCAGAUCAGAGUGGGCCACUGGCAGCCAACGGACCCCGGGGCUCAGGCGGGGAGCAGCUCUGUGGUGUGGGAUUGAGGCGUUUUCCAAGAGUGGGUUUUCACGUUUCUAAGAUUUCCCAAGCAGACAGCCCGUGCUGCUCCGAUUUCUCGAACAAAAAAGCAAAACGUGUGGCUGUCUUUGGAGCAAGUCGCAGGACUGCAGGCAGUUGGGGGAGAAAGUCCGCCAUUUUGCCACUUCUCAACCGUCCCUGCAAGGCUGGGGCUCAGUUGGGUAAUGGAAAGUAAAGCCCUGAACUAUCGCACCUUAAUCUUCCUGCAAAAGGUGGUAAACUAUACCUACUGUCCCUCAAGAGAACACAAAAAGUGCUUUAAGAGGUAUUUUCAAAGUUCCGGGGGUUUUGUGAGGUGUUUGAUGACCCGUUUAAAAUAUGAUUUCCAUGUUUCUUUUGUCUAAAGUUUGCAGCUCAAAUCUUUCCACACGCUAGUAAUUUAAGUAUUUCUGCAUGUGUAGUUUGCAUUCAAGUUCCAUAAGCUGUUAAGAAAAAUCUAGAAAAGUAAAAGUAGAACCUAUUUUUAACCGAAGAACUACUUUUUGCCUCCCUCACAAAGGCGGCGGAAGGUGAUCGAAUUCCGGUGAUGCGAGUUGUUCUCCGUCUAUAAAUACGCCUCGCCCGAGCUGUGCGGCAGGCAGUGAGGCAGCCAGCGCAGGGGCUUCUGCUGAGGGCGCAGGCGGAGCUUGAGGAAACCGCAGAUAAGUUUUUUUCACUUUGAAAGAUAGAGAUUAAUACAACUACUUAAAAAAUAUAGUCAAUAGGUUACUAAGAUAUUGCUUAGCGUUAAGCUUUUAACGUAAUUUUAAUAGCUUAAGAUUUUAAGAGAAAAUAUGAAGACUUAGAAGAGUAGCAUGACGAAGGAAAAGAUAAAAGAUUUCUAAAACAUGACGGAGGUUGAGAUGAAGCUUCUUCAUGGAGUAAAAAAUGUAUUUAAAAGAAAAUUGAGAGAAAGGACUACAGAGCCCUGAAUUAAUACCAAUAGAAGGGCAAUGCUUUUAGAUUAAAAUGAAGGUGACUUAAACAGCUUAAAGUUUACUUUAAAAGUUGUAGGUGAUUAAAAUAAUUUGAAGGCGAUCUUUUAAAAAGAGAUUAAACCGAAGGUGAUUAAAAGACCUUGAAAUCCAUGACGCAGGGAGAAUUGCGUCAUUUAAAGCCUAGUUAACGCAUUUAAACGCAGACGAAAAUGGAAAGAUUAGUUGGGAGUGGUAGGAUGAAACGAUUUGGAGAAGAUAGAAGUUUGAAGUGGAAAACUGGAAGACAGAAGUACAGGAAGGCGGAGAAAAGAAUAGAGAAGAUAGGGAAAUUAGAAGAUAAAAACAUACUUUUAGAAGAAAAAAGAUAAAUUUAAACCUGAAAAGUAGGAAGCAGAAGAAAAAAGACAAGCUAGGAAACAAAAAACUAAGGGCAAAAUGUACAAACUUAGAAGAAAAUUGGAAGAUAGAAACAAGAUAGAAAAUGAAAAUAUUGUCAAGAGUUUCAGAUAGAAAAUGAAAAACAAGCUAAGACAAGUAUUGGAGAAGUAUAGAAGAUAGAAAAAUAUAAAGCCAAAAAUUGGAUAAAAUAGCACUGAAAAAGUGAGGAAAUUAUUGGUAACCAAUUUAUUUUAAAAGCCCAUCAAUUUAAUUUCUGGUGGUGCAGAAGUUAGAAGGUAAAGCUUGAGAAGAUGAGGGUGUUUACGUAGACCAGAACCAAUUUAGAAGAAUACUUGAAGCUAGAAGGGGAAGUUGGUUAAAAAUCACAUCAAAAAAGGACUGGUGUAAUUUAAAAAAAAACUAAGGCAGAAGGCUUUUGGAAGAGUUAGAAGAAUUUGGAAGGCCUUAAAUAUAGUAGCUUAGUUUGAAAAAUGUGAAGGACUUUCGUAACGGAAGUAAUUCAAGAUCAAGAGUAAUUACCAACUUAAUGUUUUUGCAUUGGACUUUGAGUUAAGAUUAUUUUUUAAAUCCUGAGGACUAGCAUUAAUUGACAGCUGACCCAGGUGCUACACAGAAGUGGAUUCAGUGAAUCUAGGAAGACAGCAGCAGACAGGAUUCCGGGAACCAGUGUUUGAUGAAGCUAGGACUGAGGAGCAAGCGAGCAAGCAGCAGUUCGUGGUGAAGAUAGGAAAAGAGUCCAGGAGCCAGUGCGAUUUGGUGAAGGAAGCUAGGAAGAAGGAAGGAGCGCUAACGAUUUGGUGGUGAAGCUAGGAAAAAGGAUUCCAGAAAGGAGCGAGUGCGAUUUGGUGAUGAAGCUAGCAGGCGGCUUGGCUUGGCAACCACACGGAGGAGGCGAGCAGGCGUUGUGCGUAGAUAGAGGAUCCUAGACCAGCAUGCCAGUGUGCCAAGGCCACAGGGAAAACGAGUGGUUGGUAAAAAUCCGUGAGGUCGGCAAUAUGUUGUUUUUCUGGAACUUAUGGUAACCUUUUAUUUAUUUUCUAAUAUAAUGGGGGAGUUUCGUACUGAGGUGUAAAGGGAUUUAUAUGGGGAACGUAGGCCGAUUUCCGGGUGUUGUAGGUUUCUCUUUUUCAGGCUUAUACUCAUGAAUCUUGUCUGAAGCUUUUGAGGGCAGACUGCCAAGUCCUGGAGAAAUAGUAGAUGGCAAGUUUGUGGGUUUUUUUUUUUUUUUUUUUUUUUUUUUACGAAUUUGAGGAAAACCAAAUGAAUUUGAUAGCCAAAUUGAGACAAUUUCAGCAAAUCUGUAAGCAGUUUGUAUGUUUAGUUGGGGUAAAUGAAGUAUUUCAGUUUUGUGAAUAGAUGACCUGUUUUUACUUCCUCACCCUGAAUUCGUUUUGUAAAUGUAGAGUUUGGAUGUGUAACUGAGGCGGGGGGGAGUUUUCAGUAUUUUUUUUUUGUGGGGGUGGGGGCAAAAUAUGUUUUCAGUUCUUUUUCCCUUAGGUCUGUCUAGAAUCCUAAAGGCAAAUGACUCAAGGUGUAACAGAAAACAAGAAAAUCCAAUAUCAGGAUAAUCAGACCACCACAGGUUUACAGUUUAUAGAAACUAGAGCAGUUCUCACGUUGAGGUCUGUGGAAGAGAUGUCCAUUGGAGAAAUGGCUGGUAGUUACUCUUUUUUCCCCCCACCCCCUUAAUCAGACUUUAAAAGUGCUUAACCCCUUAAACUUGUUAUUUUUUACUUGAAGCAUUUUGGGAUGGUCUUAACAGGGAAGAGAGAGGGUGGGGGAGAAAAUGUUUUUUUCUAAGAUUUUCCACAGAUGCUAUAGUACUAUUGACAAACUGGGUUAGAGAAGGAGUGUACCGCUGUGCUGUUGGCACGAACACCUUCAGGGACUGGAGCUGCUUUUAUCCUUGGAAGAGUAUUUCCAGUUGAAGCUGAAAAGUACAGCACAGUGCAGCUUUGGUUCAUAUUCAGUCAUCUCAGGAGAACUUCAGAAGAGCUUGAGUAGGCCAAAUGUUGAAGUUAAGUUUUCCAAUAAUGUGACUUCUUAAAAGUUUUAUUAAAGGGGAGGGGCAAAUAUUGGCAAUUAGUUGGCAGUGGCCUGUUACGGUUGGGAUUGGUGGGGUGGGUUUAGGUAAUUGUUUAGUUUAUGAUUGCAGAUAAACUCAUGCCAGAGAACUUAAAGUCUUAGAAUGGAAAAAGUAAAGAAAUAUCAACUUCCAAGUUGGCAAGUAACUCCCAAUGAUUUAGUUUUUUUCCCCCCAGUUUGAAUUGGGAAGCUGGGGGAAGUUAAAUAUGAGCCACUGGGUGUACCAGUGCAUUAAUUUGGGCAAGGAAAGUGUCAUAAUUUGAUACUGUAUCUGUUUUCCUUCAAAGUAUAGAGCUUUUGGGGAAGGAAAGUAUUGAACUGGGGGUUGGUCUGGCCUACUGGGCUGACAUUAAUUACAAUUAUGGGAAAUGCAAAAGUUGUUUGGAUAUGGUAGUGUGUGGUUCUCUUUUGGAAUUUUUUUCAGGUGAUUUAAUAAUAAUUUAAAACUACUAUAGAAACUUCAGAGCAAAGGAAGUGGCUUAAUGAUCCUGAAGGGAUUUCUUCUGAUGGUAGCUUUUGUAUUAUCAAGUAAGAUUCUAUUUUCAGUUGUGUGUAAGCAAGUUUUUUUUUUAGCGUAGGAGAAAUACUUUUCCAUUGUUUAACUGCAAAACAAGAUGUUAAGGUAUGCUUCAAAAAUUUUGUAAAUUGUUUAUUUUAAAUUUAUCUGUUUGUAAAUUGUAACUGAUUAAGAAUUGUGAUAGUUCAGCUUGAAUGUCUCUUAGAGGGUGGGCUUUUGUUGAUGAGGGAGGGGAAACUUUUUUUUUUCUAUAGACUUUUUUCAGAUAACAUCUUCUGAGUCAUAACCAGCCUGGCAGUAUGAUGGCCUAGAUGCAGAGAAAACAGCUCCUUGGUGAAUUGAUAAGUAAAGGCAGAAAAGAUUAUAUGUCAUACCUCCAUUGGGGAAUAAGCAUAACCCUGAGAUUCUUACUACUGAUGAGAACAUUAUCUGCAUAUGCCAAAAAAUUUUAAGCAAAUGAAAGCUACCAAUUUAAAGUUACGGAAUCUACCAUUUUAAAGUUAAUUGCUUGUCAAGCUAUAACCACAAAAAUAAUGAAUUGAUGAGAAAUACAAUGAAGAGCCAAUGUCCAUCUCAAAAUACUGCUUUUACAAAAGCAGAAUAAAAGCGAAAUGAAAUGAAAAUGUUAUACUACAUUAAUCCUGGAAUAAAAGAAGCCGAAAUAAAUGAGAGAUGAGUUGGGAUCAAGUGGAUUGAGGAGGCUGUGCUGUGUGCCAAUGUUUCGUUUGCCUCAGACAGGUAUCUCUUCGUUAUCAGAAGAGUUGCUUCAUUUCAUCUGGGAGCAGAAAACAGCAGGCAGCUGUUAACAGAUAAGUUUAACUUGCAUCUGCAGUAUUGCAUGUUAGGGAUAAGUGCUUAUUUUUAAGAGGUGUGGAGUUCUUAAAUAUCAACCAUGGCACUUUCUCCUGACCCCUUCCCUAGGGGAUUUCAGGAUUGAGAAAUUUUUCCAUCGAGCCUCUUUAAAAUUGUAGGACUUGUUCCUGUGGGCUUCAAUGAUGGGAUAGUACACUUCACUCAGAGGCAUUUGCAUCUUUAAAUAAUUUCUUAAAAGCCUCUAAAGUGAUCAGUGCCUUGAUGCCAACUAAGGAAAUUUGUUUAGCAUUGAAUCUCUGAAGGCUCUAUGAAAGGAAUAGCAUGAUGUGCUGUUAGAAUCAGAUGUUAUUGCUAAAAUUUACAUGUUGUGUUGUGAUGUAAAUUGUGUAGAAAACCAUUAAAUCAUUCAAAAUAAUAAACUAUUUUUAUUAGAGAAUGUAUACUUUUAGAAAGCUGUCUCCUUAUUUAAAUACAAUACUGUUUGUCUGUAGUUUAGUGUUGGGGCAAUCUUGGGGGGGAUUCUUCUCUAAUCUUUCAGAAACUUUGUCUGCGAACACUCUUUAAUGGACCAGAUCAGGAUUUGAGCGGAAGAACGAAUGUAACUUUAAGGCAGGAAAGACAAAUUUUAUUCUUCAUAAAGUGAUGAGCAUAUAAUAAUUCCAGGCACAUGGCAAUAGAGGCCCUCUAAAUAAGGAAUAAAUAACCUCUUAGACAGGUGGGAGAUUAUGAUCAGAGUAAAAGGUAAUUACACAUUUUAUUUCCAGAAAGUCAGGGGUCUAUAAAUUGACAGUGAUUAGAGUAAUACUUUUUCACAUUUCCAAAGUUUGCAUGUUAACUUUAAAUGCUUACAAUCUUAGAGUGGUAGGCAAUGUUUUACAUUAUUGACCUUAUAUAGGGAAGGGAGGGGGUGCCUGUGGGUUUUUAAAGAAUUUUCCUUUGCAGAGGCAUUUCAUCCUUCAUGAAGCUGUUCAGGAUUUUGAAUUGCAUAUGAGUGCUUGGCUCUUCCUUCUGUUCUCCUAGUGAGUGUAUGAGACCUUGCAGUGAGUUUAUCAGCAUACUCAAAAUUUUUUUCCUGGAAUUUGGAGGGAUGGGAGGAGGGGGUGGGGCUUACUUGUUGUAGCUUUUUUUUUUUUUACAGACUUCACAGAGAAUGCAGUUGUCUUGACUUCAGGUCUGUCUGUUCUGUUGGCAAGUAAAUGCAGUACUGUUCUGAUCCCGCUGCUAUUAGAAUGCAUUGUGAAACGACUGGAGUAUGAUUAAAAGUUGUGUUCCCCAAUGCUUGGAGUAGUGAUUGUUGAAGGAAAAAAUCCAGCUGAGUGAUAAAGGCUGAGUGUUGAGGAAAUUUCUGCAGUUUUAAGCAGUCGUAUUUGUGAUUGAAGCUGAGUACAUUUUGCUGGUGUAUUUUUAGGUAAAAUGCUUUUUGUUCAUUUCUGGUGCUGGGAGGGGACUGAAGCCUUUAGUCUUUUCCAGAUGCAACCUUAAAAUCAGUGACAAGAAACAAAUUCCAAACAAGCAACAGUCUUCAAGAAAUUAAACUGGCAAGUGGAAAUGUUUAAACAGUUCAGUGAUCUUUAGUGCAUUGUUUUUGUGUGGGUUUCUCUCUCCCCUCCCUUGGUCUUAAUUCUUACAUGCAGGAACACUCAGCAGACACACGUAUGCGAAGGGCCAGAGAAGCCAGACCCAGUAAGAAAAAAUAGCCUAUUUACUUUAAAUAAACCAAACAUUCCAUUUUAAAUGUGGGGAUUGGGAACCACUAGUUCUUUCAGAUGGUAUUCUUCAGACUAUAGAAGGAGCUUCCAGUUGAAUUCACCAGUGGACAAAAUGAGGAAAACAGGUGAACAAGCUUUUUCUGUAUUUACAUACAAAGUCAGAUCAGUUAUGGGACAAUAGUAUUGAAUACCAGCUUUAUGCUGGAGUAACUGGCAUGUGAGCAAACUGUUGGCGUGGGGGUGGAGGGGUGAGGUGGGCGCUAAGCCUUUUUUUAAGAUUUUUCAGGUACCCCUCACUAAAGGCACCGAAGGCUUAAAGUAGGACAACCAUGGAGCCUUCCUGUGGCAAGAGAGACAACAAAGUGCUAUUAUCCUAAGGUCAAGAGAAGUGUCAGCCUCACCUGAUUUUUAUUAGUAAUGAGGACUUGCCUCAACUCCCUCUUUGUGGAGUGAAGCAUCCGAAGGAAUGCUUUGAAGUACCCCUGGGCUUCUCUUAACAUUUAAGCAAGCUGUUUUUAUAGCAGCUCUUAAUAAUAAAGCCCAAAUCUCAAGCGGUGCUUGAAGGGGAGGGAAAGGGGGAAAGCGGGCAACCACUUUUCCCUAGCUUUUCCAGAAGCCUGUUAAAAGCAAGGUCUCCCCACAAGCAACUUCUCUGCCACAUCGCCACCCCGUGCCUUUUGAUCUAGCACAGACCCUUCACCCCUCACCUCGAUGCAGCCGGUAGCUUGGAUCCUUGUGGGCAUGAUCCAUAAUCGGUUUCAAGGUAACGAUGGUGCCGAGGUCUUUGGUGGGUUGAACUAUGUUAGAAAAGGCCAUUAAUUUGCCUGCAAAUUGUUAACAGAAGGAUAUUAAAACCACAGCUAAGUAGCUCUAUAUAACACUUAUCCAGUGACUAAAACCAACUUAAACCAGUAAGUGGAGAAAUAACAUGUUCAAGAACUGUAAUGCUGGGUGGGAACAUGUAACUUGUAGACUGGAGAAGAUAGGUAUUUGAGUGGCUGAGAGGGCUUUUGGGUGGGAAUGCAAAAAUUCUCUGCUAAGACUUUUUCAGGUGAACAUAACAGACUUGGCCAAGCUAGCAUCUUAGCAGAAGCUGAUCUCCAGUGCUCUUCAGUAGGGUCAUGAAGGUUUUUCUUUUCCUGAGAAAACAACACGUUUUGUUUUCUCAGGUUUUGCUUUUUGGCCUUUUUCUAGCUUAAAAAAAAAAAAAGCAAAAGAUGCUGGUGGUUGGCACUCCUGGUUUCCAGGACAGGGUUCAAAUCCCUGCGGCGUCUUUGCUUUGACCACUAAUCUGUCUUCAGGACUCUUUCUGUAUUUCUCCUUUUCUCUGCAGGUGCUAGUUCUUGGAGUUUUGGGGAGGUGGGAGGUAACAGCACAAUAUCUUUGAACUAUAUACAUCCUUGAUGUAUAAUUUGUCAGGAGCUUGACUUGAUUGUAUAUUCAUAUUUACACGAAAACCUAAUGUAACUGCCUUGUCUUUUUCAGGUAAUAGCCUGCAGCUGGUGUUUUGAGAAGCCCUACUGCUGAAAACUUAACAAUUUUGUGUAAUAAAAAUGGAGAAGCUCUAAA
rnacentral:lncRNA from 1 species